AGUGAACGCUGGCGGUAGGCCUAACACAUGCAAGUCGAACGGCAGCACAGGAGAGCUUGCUCUCUGGGUGGCGAGUGGCGGACGGGUGAGGAAUACAUCGGAAUCUGCCCAGUCGUGGGGGAUAACGUAGGGAAACUUACGCUAAUACCGCAUACGACCUUCGGGUGAAAGAGGGGGAUCGCAAGACCUCUCGCGAUUGGAUGAGCCGAUGUCGGAUUAGCUAGUUGGCGGGGUAAUGGCCACCAAGGCGACGAUCCGUAGCUGGUCUGAGAGGAUGAUCAGCCACACUGGAACUGAGACACGGUCCAGACUCCUACGGGAGGCAGCAGUGGGGAAUAUUGGACAAUGGGCGCAAGCCUGAUCCAGCCAUACCGCGUGGGUGAAGAAGGCCUUCGGGUUGUAAAGCCCUUUUGUUGGGAAAGAAAUCUUUCAGGCUAAUACCCUGGGAGGAUGACGGUACCCAAAGAAUAAGCACCGGCUAACUUCGUG
rnacentral:rRNA from 1 species